AAUGGGUAUGCAAAUCCCAAUCCUGCUGACAACCAUUGGAACGUGAUCCAUUUUCACGCUUUAUUUAUUGCCCAACUGUUGAUCGAAUGACCUCGUGCAGGUCAGGAUCCAAACUCUGGAAAUACUUCCCCUCCAGAGUACGUGACCAUCCACAUCGAAAUAUCCUUAAGGUAUAUCUCACUCUCACCUCGAUUCUCUUCUUAACUUCUCGCAUAUUCAUUUCCCGCGCUUACUUCCAGCAUAAUCAUCAGCAACCAUCAUGACUGUAAUCAGUGCUCAGACGGGGUGGAAAACAGCUGGUCCGUUCAUCGUUCUACACAGCAACAGAGCAGCAACGUGCAGUCAGUCAGUCAGUGGGGCGUUCUAGGUCGGACUCGCUUUCCCGGAGAGGCGUCCGCUCCGACGAGAGCGACGAUGAUGCAAUUCACAGACUGAUUCCAUCCCCCUGCUGCUACUGAGUGGUGGAACCCCACGUUUCAUCCGACGACGACGACGGAUCGCUCCCAGAACCGGGUCGGUCGGGGGGAUGUUCGAUGAUGAUGCUUCCCAGCCCCGACAGGAACCGUUUGGCAGUCAGUCAGCUUCAAGCUUUCGGUGGACGAUGUUGCGCGCCCUUCUCGGUGGGACCCCAAAGUGCCCAAGGUGCUACUUGCUACUGCUGCUGCUGGUGCUAGUACUACACACCUCCACAGUCAGUGGGGUGCCAGUCAGAGUCAGUGUGCCCGUUGGUAGUGCCGUCGCGGGGUAGGCCGUGUGUACGUGCGUUCCGCUCUUUGGCACCUAAUUUGAGGCCAGGAAAAUCGUGGAAAAGCGAAGAAGAAAAACGAGUUUAGGAAGGAUAUUGCUGUAUGGCGGCAGCCCACCACCUCAGUCGAGAAAAGGAUAACUGUUGCGCCAUCGAAAAACGUGGCGGAAGGAAUGUCCACGAAAUUCUUUUUGCACUGACUGUGGAACCGGAAUUUGGGUACCGGGCGAGCCGAGAGACGCACGAGUGGCGCGAUUUUUUGCCUCCAGUUCUAAUUCCGGUGGCGGAUGACGGCAACGGCGGCGGUGCGUGGCAAUUAGAGGGAAGAAUGUUGCCGAUUGCUCCCAAGCGUGUGACUUUUUCGCACUGUGCGGUUCAUUUGCUUCGAGGGGUGUUGAUUUGAAUGUAAUGAGUGUGGGUCGAGCCGUCGGUCAUCGAGCGGCGGGUGGUUGUCGAAUUCUGGUUGCGAUGGCGUGGGAAAAUCGCGAUUAGUUGCCGGCGGUCAACGGCGGACGAGCUGAGCUUCUGACGAGUGCUGCUGUCGAAGGCGUGUUAAUUGAUUGGUGAUUUGUGACACGGGAAGAUUGUUUUUGAUGUGCAAUAGUUUAGAUCGUUUGAGAAUAAGAUGUUUAAAUUCAAUGUUGAAAAUCGAUAUCAAUUUAUUGUGGAAGUAAGUGUAAGCCGUUGAUGUUAAAUGUUGAUGUAAGAGUUCUAUCACGCAAUCAUAAAUAUCUAAGUAUUAUAUAUUACCGGAAGCCGGUUUUGAUGGAAGAAAUUGUGUAACUGUGAAACAAACUUAAGAAACAUAUAGACAUCGUACCAACAGAAAAAUAUUGACACCACGCUUCAUCGGAACCCAUUUGUUCGCUCGAUUCGACUUUUUUUGUGAACACCAACGAUCAUUUAAAUCCCGCGGCAAAACUGCCAACCAGGAGUUAUCAAAGCAAUAUCACAAACAUCAGCUCCCCAGAAAAGCCGUUCUCACAUUCGGGAGUUCGGGAAAAGGGGGAGAAAAAGUUGUUUCAGCAGGAAGCUGAAAUCUGAAAUGCACCGACACCAAAUCAAUCGGGUCAGAAAAUUGCAAUUGUACAAUUCUUCACCGCACCAAAACUGCACAAAAACAGUGUGUUGCUCGAUUUCCGGCGGGAACAGGUCGAAUCCCAUUUGAAGGACACCGACGACGACGACGACGACGAUCGACCAACCUGUCCGAUGUGCAAGAAAAGUUUUAAUUGAAGAAGGAAAAUUUUAUCCUUCUUGGGCGCACACAGCAGCAGCAGUGCGCCCAACAGUAGUGUAUUCGGUGCUUCCGGUGAAGCUUUCUGUGAGUGGAGCAAAAAGAAGAAAAUCGUUUGAAAAAUGAAUUUCAAUGUCGACAACUUUGACGGACCAUCAGCAGUUGGACCGCAGUCCUUCGUCGGCAGCAUCAGGAAGAACUCAAAGUGAUAACGAUCAUCAUCAUCACCGGAGUGAGAAGUUGAUGCCAAAUAGGAGAAGUUUUUUUUCCUGGUUCGAAAGUUAGUUCGGUGGUCUCCCGAGUGGGGCUGGUGGGUCUCAAGACCCGGUUUUUUGUGCGUUUCUGAAGAUUUGCUCACGUUGUGAAACUGGCACUUUGUUUGGGUGCGAUUUUUCCGGUUCAGUGGUUGUCCGGUCGGUGAGUUUAGCGAAAAAAAAAGUUUUGUGCUUUUGUGCCGGGGAAAAUCCAAAGGACAACCAGAAGAAAACCAGAAGGCCCCUGAUUUGCAUCGGCUUUCGGUGAGAGUUUUCGUGUCGACUGCAGCAGCUGAAGCGGGGCAUCAUCAUCAAUUCAGAGUAACAGCUGGUUAGAGAAACUUGAAUUGGAUUGGAAAUUGGAGUUGUGUGGUGAUUAGUGAAAGUUUUUCCAGCGUUUUCCCGGUUGGCGCGCAGAAGCGGGCUCACAGAAUGGACAUGGAUAUCAUCGACAUCCGGACGUUGGGAUAUCUCUCCAGCACUAGCACGGUAAUAAAUCCAAAUGGUACAAGCAGGUUCAAUGGCCUCCUCAAAAUACAAAAGACUUUCGAAAUGGUAUGAUAUUCGAAAACUAAGUAAAAACGUCACUAACAACCCAAGUAAUCAAUAAACACUUGAAUGCAGCAUCCUAACUGCAAUAUGUGCGCGUACAAUUCAAUCAUAUAGUGCAACGCUGCUCUGCUCUGCUCUGCUCUGCUCUGCUCUGCUCUGCUCUGCUCUGCUCUGCUCUGCUAUGUUCCUCCCCCCUUUGCACCCUCCGCCUUUUGCUGGAAGCCAAAAAUACGUGACUUUUUUGAAUUUAAAAAAAUUGUAAAUGUUUUUGCUCAGAUUUCGUAGUUAUGCUUAUCAUCAAUAGUUUUCACUGAUCCUUAAUAUAUAUUAUAUAUAUGUAUAAGAAUAUAUUCUAUGUAUUACAACUGAUCUGUUGAAGUUAAGAUCCCCAAGCUAUUCUAAGACCACCAAAGUACUCCGAAGUUUGAGUCACAAAUCCAACAUUCUAAACCAAAUUUUAUACACGAUGAAUGAUCACAGUCUCAAAAAGCUUCAAAGCACCCCUAGAAAUUCAUGGUACAUGAAAUGGGUGAUCUAGGCCAUCCCAAACUUCUCUGGAAUUCAUUUUCUUAAGAUCUACAACAUCUACCAUCAUCUGUGUUUACUUUGUUCAAGAUAUUUAGUCACAUUGAUGUCCAUUAGACCUCGCAAUGCUACGAGCUACUUGAUAUUGUGGUAGUUGGACAUUCCGUGAACUACAAAUGGCCCCCAAUACCCUUUGAAGUUUGAUUUACAAUAUCUGCAUACUGUAUCAUGCUUAAAUUGUAAAAAAAAUAUUCGUGGAAUGUAGUCUAUACUGCUGAUGGAACCUCAGUGCACAACUAUAAUGCAUUUGGUACAUUCAUGGGAUAUUCUAGGACUUCCUAAAUAUUCUGGAAUUAGGACCUUCAAGGUCUACAGGCUCUACUCUUGUUUCUCUUCACUCUAUCGGCAUAAUUCUUUCACGAUUGUUUCUGUUGCACCUCAUAAUAUUACGAGUGCGUUGCUAUUUGGGAGUCCACCUGCAUACAAAUUGACCCUAGAAUGGGCCCAAUUUAUUUUGAAAUAUGGGUCGCAAUAUCUGUAAAUCUUAGGAUAUUUUUGUUAUAGCGAAUGCUCACGGUAUAUAACCUACGCUUCUCUUUGAGCCUCAGAGUGCAAUUCUGAUAACUAAGCCACAUUCACUUGGUGAUCUAGGUCAUCCAAAUCGUUCUGGAAUCAAGACCUUCAAGCUUCACAAUCUCUACGUUUGUAUCUUUUUAUUUUAUUGGUGUAGUUCCUCCAAAAUAUCCUUC